rnacentral:lncRNA from 1 species
CUCCCGGUCUGGGCUUACGCAGACACGGUCAGAGCUGCGCCAUGCGGCUGGGACUCAAGGCAAUUUGCAGACAAAAAGAUGCAAUCCCAGACGCGCGUUUUGGGCAGGGGGGUGUGAGCUGAGGCUGGCGCUGCCCGGGGGAAACGCGUAGCUGCGGCAGGGAGGAACRCGCGGCACGGAGGUUUUGGGGUGUCUUUGCUCCAUCUGCAGCCAAAAUCCUGCCACAGCUGAGCGGGACGGAGGCUGUCACCCUGCAAGGAGCAGCUGGUGCUGGGGAAAGGAUCUUGUCGCUCAUCACUUCUGCGGCUCUUCCACAUUCAGGUUAUUUUUUUGCAGCCAGCCAGCCACGUCCACAGGCGCAGCGCCGCAGGCAGCCGCUCCGCAGGACACGGCAGCGAGCGCGGCUGGCUCUGGGUAAGGCCUUCCUCGCGUUUCCGACAUCCCCCGUGGGAGAGGUUUCCUGUGAAAGCAGCCACGCGGGUGAGAUGGGGAGUGGGGAGAGCGGGUAGCCAGCAGCGACCACUCUGGCUUGGAGCCUCCGAAACAGGGAGGGAAGGCAGCUUCAAAGCACCAGUGCUUUUGCCUGGCUCUUCCCUUUCUGCUCGUGAUGGAAAAGCCAAAUUUAAACUUAGGGCAACGUCUGGCUCAAGGAGAUGAUGGGCACGUGCAGGGAAACGUCCCUGCACCUCUCCCCAUGCUGUGACACUGCUGUGCAUCGUUCAUCCAUGUCUGUGCCCAUGCAGRCACCCCGUCCCCUGGCUCAGCGCCCCCCAAAAAGCCCCAGCUCUCCCGCCAGAGUCCAGAAAGGAGGAUCCCUCUGGAGACACCAGCGCCUUGGCUCCCGCAGCCUCAUUCCCGGGACAGCAGGAGAUGCCAGGCCCUGCCCCGCUCGCUCAGGUAGGUCUGUCGGGCCCGUGCUCCCCGCGAGAGGUGCAGGACYGGGGCGGCAAUCGCGAGCAUCACCUGAGCAGCAUUGCAUAGUGCCCAGGCACAUUUAUAUAUUAUAUUAA